AUUCGAACGCUGGCGGCAUGCCUUACACAUGCAAGUCGAACGGUAACAGGCCGCAAGGUGCUGACGAGUGGCGAACGGGUGAGUAACACAUCGGAACGUGCCUGAUAGUGGGGGAUAACCACUCGAAAGAGUAGCUAAUACCGCAUAAGAUCUCAGGAUGAAAGCAGGAUGAACGCAGGGGACCGCAAGGCCUUGCGCUAACAGAGCGGCCGAUGGCAGAUUAGGUAGUUGGUGGGAUAAAAAGCUUACCAAGCCGACGAUCUGUAGCUGGUCUGAGAGGACGACCAGCCACACUGGGACUGAGACUACGGCCCAGACUCCUACGGGAGGCAGCAGUGGGGAAUUUUGGACAAUGGGCGCAAGCCUGAUCCAGCAAUGCCGCGUGCAGGAUGAAGGCCUUCGGUUGGUAAACUG
rnacentral:rRNA from 1 species